GACGAACGCUGGGGGCGUGCUUAACACAUGCAAGUCGAACGAAGAGCGAUGGAAGCUUGCUUCUAUCAAUCUUAGUGGCGAACGGGUGAGUAACGCGUAAUCAACCUGCCCUUCAGAGGGGGACAACAGUUGGAAACGACUGCUAAUACCGCAUACGAUCUAAUCUCGGCAUCGAGGAUAGAUGAAAGGUGGCCUCUACAUGUAAGCUAUCACUGAAGGAGGGGAUUGCGUCUGAUUAGCUAGUUGGAGGGGUAACGGCCCACCAAGGCGAUGAUCAGUAGCCGGUCUGAGAGGAUGAACGGCCACAUUGGGACUGAGACACGGCCCAGACUCCUACGGGAGGCAGCAGUGGGGAAUCUUCCGCAAUGGACGAAAGUCUGACGGAGCAACGCCGCGUGAGUGAUGACGGCCUUCGGGUUGUAAAGCUCUGUUAAUCGGGACGAAAGGCCUUCUUGCGAAUAGUGAGAAGGAUUGACGGUACCGGAAUAGAAAGCCACGGCUAACUACGUG
rnacentral:rRNA from 1 species